UACGGAGGUGGCAAGCGUUACUCGGAAUUACUGGGUGUACAGGGUACGUAGGCGGUUGCGUAAGCUCCACUUAAAAUCCAUUGGCUCAACCAAUGGGUGCGGUGGGGAACUGCGCGACUGGAGAGUGGGAGAGGCGAGCGGAAUUCCCGGUGUAAGGGUGAAAUCUGUAAAGAUCGGGAGGAACACCAGUGGCGCAAGCGGCUCGCUGGACCAUUUCUGACGCUGAGGUACGAAAGCUAGGGGAGCAAACAGG
rnacentral:rRNA from 1 species